rnacentral:tRNA from 2 species
UAAUUUUUAGUUUAAUUAAAAUAAUAAAUUGCAAAUUUAUUGAUAUAAAAUUUUAUAAAAUUAU